GCCCAGGUGGUGGAAUUGGUAGACACGCUAUCUUGAGGGGGUAGUGUCCUUCGGAUGUGCCGGUUCGAGUCCGGCUCUGGGCACCA
rnacentral:tRNA from 1 species